AGUAUUGAAGGGCUGCAGUAUAUUGACUGUACAAAGGUAGCAUAAUCAUUAGUCAUUUAAUUGAUGACUUGUAUGAAGGAUUGGAUGAAAUAUAAACUGUCUCUUAGUUAUAAAUAGAAUUUAAUUUUUUUAUUAAAAAGUUAAGAUAAUUUAAAAAGACGAGAAGACCCUAUAGAGUUUUAUAGUUAAAUUAAUUAAUAUUAUUUAUUAAAUUAAAGUUAAAAUUAGUUUAUUUAUUGUGUUGGGGUGAUAAAAAAAUAUGUAUAACUUUUUUUAAAUAAAAACAUUUAUAAGUGAUUAAUUGAUCCAAUAUUAUUGAUUAUAAGAAGAAAUUACCUUAGGGAUAACAGCGUAAUUUUUUUUUUUAGUUCAUAUAAGAAAAAGAGUUUGCGACCUCGAUGUUGGAUUAAGAUAAAAUUUAAAUGCAGAAG
rnacentral:rRNA from 1 species